UGGGGAAUUUUGGACAAUGGGCGAAAGCCUGAUCCAGCAAUGCCGCGUGUAGGAUGAAGGCCCUCGGGUUGUAAACUACUUUUGUACGGAACGAAAAGGCUCUUUCAAAUAAAGAGGGCCCAUGACGGUACCGUAAGAAUAAGCACCGGCUAACUACGUGCCAGCAGCCGCGGUAAUACGUAGGGUGCAAGCGUUAAUCGGAAUUACUGGGCGUAAAGCGUGCGCAGGCGGUUAUGUAAGACAGAGGUGAAAUCCCCGGGCUCAACCUGGGAACUGCCUUUGUGACUGCAUAGCUAGAGUACGGUAGAGGGGGAUGGAAUUCCGCGUGUAGCAGUGAAAUGCGUAGAUAUGCGGAGGAACACCGAUGGCGAAGGCAAUCCCCUGGACCUGUACUGACGCU
rnacentral:rRNA from 1 species